UCUAUAUGCAUUUAUAGUUGCUGAGAAGUGCUGGAGUGGGAAGCCUACAGACUAAAUUGGUGGUAGCACAUGAAAGAGAAGCAAGUGCUGUGGCCUGGUAUCGGGCACUGGGUUCUGGUUUUGGUUUGGACACUGACUCACUCGGCCAGCUUGAGGAAAUCGUUUCCCUUCUCUGUGCACCUGUUUCCACUCCCCACCUCUAAUUGUCUCCCUGGUUAGACUAAGAGCUCUUCAGGACACGGCCCGUCUCUCGCUGCGUGUACGUACAAUGCCUCAGCACAAUGGAGCCUUGUCUUGGUUGGGGCCUUAGGUGUUCGAGUAAUACAAACAAUAAAAGGUAUGCCCAGACAGCAAGGCAAGCUUCCCAGACAUGCUGCUCUGCAAGGAUGUCUGAAACCCAAUGUGCUGGGAGCUGUCUCUGUUCCCAGUCCUUGGCUUCUCUCAGCCGGCCAGCAAAGCAUAACCAGUUCCAAUUACAAUGGUGAGGUGAACUGGCACGUUCCCAGUUCCACUGGGAACCGGUGUGAAAUCACUGAACUCAUUUUGCAAACUCAAGCAGUGCCUGAUAGGAACCUCCAAACCGCGCAGCUACAGACCUGCCUGGAGCCGUGCCAUCUCCCUGCAGGUGAAAAGCCUCUUACGUCAGCCCUGAAGCUCAGAGCCAUCUCAUCCCACUCCCAGCCCACACUGCACACGCUUGAGCCUGCUCCAAUUUGCCAGCAGAGAAACGAGCAAAAACAUUUUCUCCUUUCCUCCCUUGUCUGAGGAGGUGCAUACAUGUGUCUCUGGCUUUUCUUCUUGUCCAAUGGCUUUUGCAUAGCCCCUUCCUCCCGUUGUUUGUUCGUUCCCUGCACUCCAUCCCAUCUUUUGUGUUCCUCCCUGGUUUGAUACAGCAUCUCGCUGGUCCUGCUUCACACUAAGAGAAGGGGUAUUAGAUGGAUUCCCCAUAGAGUAUAAAUUGAAUGGAGAGAAGUGGCUGGUUUCCCAGCAAUAAUUUAUCUGAUUAAAAAAAUACUCCCCAAACUCCCCCUCCUCCGCUGGUCCUACACCCCCUCCAAAAAGAACAUUGGCACUCAGGCUAGUGUUUGAACUGUAUUAUUCAAAUUGCUGGAAGGGGGAUUUAGAUGGGAAAAUAACUGUCAAAAGAUGGCUCUCUGGGGAUUUUCCCCAGAAUGUGAGCUCUGAAAUUUGGAACAUGGGUUGUCAUAUGGAGGAGGCAGAGAGUAAAUAAUUCUGAGUCAAGUACCUCCAUGAUUUCUAGCUUUGCCCUCAUCUAACAAAUAUCUUACACAGAUACGCACAGAUGCACAUGCUCACACACAUGUGCCCCUGCACACACAUUUCAUAGAAGAAGCCAUUAGCAGUAACGCCAAAGCACAGCAAGCUGUUCCUGCUGUUCCCUUUCUUCUCUCUCUUUUUUGCCUUACUUCAGGGCUGAUUCCAAAUAAAUGAAGAAAUCUGCUUCAUAAAAUGCCUGUCUCCUUGUUUGUUACCUGUACAGGUUUUAUUCCUUUUAAAUCAGUGCUAUCCAAGGCUGGUAAUUUUCUUCUCCCGCUGAAGCCAACAUUCCUUUACUCACAUAGACUGUUGUAAUUGGGGAACAGAAAAGUCACCCUGACACCCCUCUUCAUCACAGCAAUGCAGCGUAGGUGACCUGAGCUAUGUAUUUCUGGCCUAUCUGUAUUUCGCUGUUGCCUUUCUCUUUGAGGGAGAGAGGCAGGUAUUUUACAUUUCAUACUGCUCCCACAGUAUGCAGUGAUUUAUAACAGGAGCUACCUUAUUAACGUCAAGGGCAGAAUUGCUACCGAUGUUCAAGCUGCAAGAGCGUAUGAAAAUCAUUUAGUUAGCUAUGGCAUGGUCCCAGCACCGAGGGCUGUUAGCUGAUGUACAUUCCUCUCUCUGCUCACAGCCUCCGCCAAGUCUGCAUGCUGGUUUCUGGGCCAGUGGGUGAAACGUGAACAGGCCCAUUCUGAGCCGGAGCUUUUCAACCUCAGAGCAACCUUAAGCUAGUCACCAGGGCUCAGGUUUCCUUGCUUUUUGACAGGAGUACUGUUCAGAUGAAACCUCUCUCCACUCCUUCUGGAGGAUUUACGCUGCCACAAGUCUUCAUUUUUUCCAGAUGUUUUACCUAAUAAAUCAAGGAGUCUCAUCAGAGGAUUCGAAUCCAAAAGCUGUUACCAUGACUUCAAAGGCACAGGCUGGAAUGGAAAGAAGAAGUGCAGACAUUUUAUACCACUCUGUAGUCACUGAUCAUGAAAAUACACUCCGGUUCCAGGAUUUUUUCCUGUGGAUACCAAAUUCCACCAUGAUUAAAUAAAAUGGUGCUGUGCUCCUUCAGCCAACCUUUGCUUAAAAGAAUUGAGCUGCAGCACUCGCAGGCUGUACGGUUGGCAGUAACCGAGGAUGGGGCUGGUCCUGAGAGAAGGUGAGCUCUGCCAACCUCUGUCCAAGAUCAGGGACCGUUAACUCAGGUUUGAACUCGCUCUGUCUUUUCAGAUCAUUGGCUGCAUAUUUUCUCUCAAUGCUAGGUUAAGCUUUUCUCAUGUAAAGGAUUCAGACAUCCGUUCAUAUUCUUCAGAUGUUUGGGAGAGAAAAAGAUAAAAAGAGUUAUAUGGCUGCAAAAUGGGAUUGUGAUUAUUCAUACUGGUUUGUUCCUUGGUCAAGAAUGUAACUCUUUUUUUCUUAAAUAUAGCGAACCUUUUCUUUUUACGGUGUCUAUGUGGUGUCAUUUUCUUUCACUGUUACAUUUCUAAAGAUAAAUGCUCUGGUGUUUUGAGAAACUGUUAUGUAUGCGUUUCUAAUUACUUGAUAGCACAGUGUACGGCAGGAUAAUGUAAUGAAGAAACGCAGCUGAAGAAAGAAAAAAAUGUUCCUACAUGUAGGUGAGCGGAAGACCUGCAAGACUGUGUUUUGGUUCCUUGCUUUCCCGAAGAGUGCUGGCAUGGCUCCGGCUGCGCUAGGUGCUGCCCAUCAGAGAUGCCCAAGUUAGGCUGUGUUCUGCAGCAGCUUCUUCUGGCAGCAGUGCCAAGGGCUGCCCUGCACUGCCUCCCUGCAAAGCCAUGAAGAAGGGAGGCUGUGACAACCUCCCGAGGGUACCUACAGCAGGUGAUAUGACAAGAGACUUUGGCUUGUGCUGUCUGAGGAUUCUGGUAGAUGUUUCAGAGAAGAGAACGUUCUGCUGCAUUCUGGUGGAGGGUUGUCAGAGAGGGAAGAGCCAGGACGCUGAAGCCCAGCACCCCAAACUGUUGUGACUGCUUGGGAUUGAUGACAUCUAGAAUGAUACGUUUUGGAUCAUCAGAACAGAGUGGGAGCAGCACAGCUUGGUUUCAGGAGCCAAAAAUAGGCUGUGGUUUGCUUACCUUCUGCUGCAGUGUCACCCCACCCACCCCAGGCCCAUGAAGUACUCCAAAUGGGGAUUUUGUCCACACUGAUCUCUUAUCUGAGUUCAGUUAGCCUUUCAACACUGCAAAUAAGCUAUUCAGUAUUACUUCCUAGCAUGACCUGGCAGUGUGAGAAGUAGUGGCUCACUGCGGAUACUGCGAUGACAACCCCAGAAGACCAGAUGAAUGCUACCUGAUAUCUGGACUUCACAAAUGCAGGUCAUCAAUCCCCUGACCAGUAGAUAGGUCCCAGAGCAGGAGAGAGACGACAGUGCCGCGUAGCCAAAAAAGGGACAGGGCAAUGCUGCUGUUAGUAACUUUCCACACCGGGCAGAGGCUGCUGCAGUCUCACUUCCCUGCCUUUGCUGGCACAGGAGAAAAUGUGAUAGUGUUUACAUAGCACUGAAGCACUAGGACUCGGGAGAUGUGAAAUGCGGAACUGCUGCACUACCUUUGGUGACUCACGACACCUUUCCGUGAUUCUGCUUUCCUUCUAUUUUCCUGCCGGGCUAACCUUCUAGACUAUAACCUCUCUGGGGAAAGGACUUGCUUUUGUUGUGUGAUCCUACGGUGUCUAAUACAAUAGGACCCAACCUCAGGAGUCCUGAGGCUGAAGCCCUGUCCUGGAGCAGCAGUCACCCACCUUAGCCACAGCGCCGUGCUUGCCUUCCCCGCAGCUCCUUGCAAGGCAGACUGAGUUUCCUCUUCCAACUCCCCGUUCCCUUUCGCCACCCCGAAGAACCUGUCUUUUCUCCAGACCCUUUGCGCCUGCCAACUUACUCGUCCCCGAUCCAGUUCUCGUCCCCACCGUGUGUUACUCAAGGAGCUUCCUGCCUGGUGUUUCCCAAGAGGACUGGAAGGACAGGUUCCCCACUCGCCCUUCCUACCUUCAGACUUGGCAUGGUCCAGAGCAGCCGGGAACUGGAACUGCAGGUCCAGCUCCGACUCCCACAGCCUUGGGCUGUGGCGUGCUGGGAGAGCACGGAACUGCUGGAGAACCGCACCGAGGAGGGCGGACUCGAAGAUCCCCAACAGAAGGAAUGAAAGAAGAAGUGUUUGUAAUUUAACCUGAGGUAUGAACUUCAGAUGCUUGAAUUUCAGCACAGUGGUUAGUCUGGCACUAUUGAAAGGGACUGAAGGUAGGAUUUGAUGAUGGGAAUUGCUAACCAGCUUUAAUAGGAAUUAUACUACCAGUCCUGCCUUUUAAUCAGCGCUUCCAUUUUCAGUAUAAAUCACAGUUCGUUGCUGGUAA